rnacentral:rRNA from 1 species
CCUACGGGAGGCAGCAGUGAGGAAUAUUGGUCAAUGGACGAGAGUCUGAACCAGUCAAGUAGCGUGAAGGAUGACUACCCUAUGGGUUGUAAACUUCUUUUAUAAAGGAAUAAAACGAGGCACGUGUGCCUUUUUGCAUGUACUUUAUGAAUAAGGAUCGGCUAACUCCGUGCCAGCAGCCGCGGUAAUACGGAGGAUCCGAGCGUUAUCCGGAUUUAUUGGGUUUAAAGGGAGCGUAGAUGGGUUGUUAAGUCAGUUGUGAAAGUUUGCGGCUCAACCGUAAAAUUGCAAUUGAUACUGGCAGUCGUGAGUACAGUUGAGGUAGGCGGAAUUCGUGGUGUAGCGGUGAAAUGCUUAGAUAUCACGAAGAACCCCGAUUGCGAAGGCAGCUUACUAAACUGUGACUGACAUUGAUGCUCGAAAGUGUGGGUAUCAAACAGGAUUAGAUACCCUUGUAGUC